AUUUGAGUAUCAUAUGUACUAACCCAAUAUGAAAUAAUACAUAGAAUAUUAGCAUGACCUCUAUGUAAGUAUGACAUGCAAAUUAAUAAAGCGUUGCAGGUCUUU
ensembl:snRNA U6 U6 spliceosomal RNA